AGCAGAAAGUGUUAUAAGCUCUAGAAUAGAAGGUACCUGACCCGAUGCAGCAGAGAACACCGUAGCUAUUGCAGCUGAAUAAGCUUAAUCUCUGGUGCAGCUAGUUCAUUGAUUCUCCUUCAAGUUGGGAAAAACUCGCCUUCUCCGAUACAAAUAGUGGAGUAAUCGGGACCAUCACUUAGCUACUAUAUCAACAAGCUUAAGCCCAUGAAAGUAGUCCAAACUUCAGUAACCGAGGCACCAACUGCACCAGAAGUUUAUGGUUUACAAGCUUUAGUUGUAGCACCAGAAAUAGAGGCAUUGAAUGCACCAAAAAUCGAAGCAAUAAAUGCAACAGAAGUUGAAUUCUCUAAGCCAGAAGCUCCAGCUCCCCAAGUUGAGGUGUAUAAUGACCUACUACUACUGAUGUGGUUUGUUCCUGUGACUUGUAUGCAAACUUUAAGUUGAUUCUUCUUUCCUCAGUUGCUGGUUAGUGUAGGAGGAGACGAUGGUAUUUUGCGUGUGGUAUCUUAUCAUUAUUUUGUCGAAUAUGUUGAUAUAUGUAAGAUUGACAAGAUGGUAAUCAAGGUAAGCAUACUCUUAAAUGCUAAUGUUUGUUCAUAAAAAUGUAUAUUUUGGUCACCAUUGACAUUUUUCAUCUCCUCUAAGGGUAGAGGAACGUGAUUGAUUCUUCUAUUUACAUGUAUUACUAGUUUCUUAUGUCAUAGUUUAUCUUAUCAUGAAGUGCUACUUUUCAAGUCCUUCCCAAGAGUUGUGUGUAAAGGUUUUCUUUGAAACUAUAGCAAAGGCUCUUCGUCUAGGUUGCAGGCUGAGAGCAUAUGGAUUUAUAUGCACAUAAUUAGAAAAUUGUUGCUCAUUUCUUUCAUAUCUUCAAUGGCUCAGUUAACUAUGCAUGGACUAGUGCUCCGACUUAUCCAAGGAAAAUACCGUUGAUUGAAUUUGAUGAAUAGAGGACAGAAGUAAACUAGAUCUAUUGUAGUGAACGAUAAAGAGUUUUGUACUAUAUAUUAUCAUAAAUGUUGUUUGAAUACAUUUGAUUUUGUGGAAUGUAUGUAUUGCUAGUAGAGAUCUUUAAGCAAUUGCUUUCUAUAUGUAUGGGACAUGUUC